rnacentral:rRNA from 1 species
UACGUAGGGUGCAAGCGUUGUCCGGAAUUAUUGGGCGUAAAGAGCUCGUAGGCGGUUUGUCGCGUCUGCUGUUAAAACCCGAGGCUCAACCUCGGGCCUGCAGUGGGUACGGGCAGACUAGAGUGCGGUAGGGGAGAUUGGAAUUCCUGGUGUAGCGGUGAAAUGCGCAGAUAUCAGGAGGAACACCGAUGGCGAAGGCAGGUCUCUGGGCCACUACUGACGCUGAGGAGCGAAAGCGUGGGGAGCGAACAGG